rnacentral:rRNA from 1 species
AUUGAACGCUGGCGGCAGGCCUACCAAAUGCAAGUCGAACGGGUAGCGGACAUGUGAGUUUUGUCUGGGAAAGUGCGUGAUGGAGGGGGAUAUAUAGUGGGAACUUUAGCAAAUAGCGCAUACCAUCGUAUGUGCCGAUAUGGGAUUAGCUAGUAGUGUGGGUAAAGGCUCACCGAGGCGACGAUCCCUCGCUGGUCUGAGAGGAUGACCAGCAACACUGGAACUGAGACACGGUCCAGACUCCUACGGGAGGCAGCAGUGGGGAAUAUUGCACAAGGGGCGCAAGCCUGAUGCAGCCAUGCCGCGUGUAUGAAGAAGGCCGUCGGGUUGUAAAGUACUUUCAGCGGGGAGGCGUUACCCGCAGAAGAAGCACCGGCUAACUCCGUGCCAGCAGCCGCGGUAAUAC